AGAUUACCUCAAAGGCAUUAGGAGAAAGAGGAGGAUAUGCAGGAACACUUGUUCAUAUCAGAAACAAAGCAACAGGGGAGUUAAUUGCCGAAGGUCGUCAUUCCUUGUAUGGUAAUGAAUCUAGCAAACUCUUGUUUGGUAAUCAAUCUAGCAAACUCUAGUCCAGUGCUAGAUGCCGUACUAUUUUACUAAAGUCAAUGCUUUCUUGGAAGCAUGGCAUGUGAUAUGAGUUAUUGUAACUUGUUGGAUGCCAAUCCGAUAUAUUAUAUGCAAAAUCUUAUAUGAGAAAG
rnacentral:lncRNA from 1 species